CAUUGAAAGUCAGAAUAUAAAAGAGUAGCUUUUACAUUUAUAUGAAGUCAUCUCACUCAAAAAAUGUCUUGUGUGUACACACUGUGCGAUCAAUUUAAUCUGGUCAAAAUUCCAUUUAAGUCGCUGCAGAAAUGUUAUCGAAUAACACUUCUGAAUUUUACGUGGAAGAAAUGUCCGUGUUUUCCCAAAUACUCGUGGCCUCAUGAGGACUCCAACUCUCAAUAUCGAUGCAAGCACAAGGACAAAGACAUGGUGUCUGUACAUUCACGUCCCUCGUCAGAGGUGCAAGACAACGCGAAAAGAGGAGAUCAGAGCGAGAACACGCCUUCCAGUGGAUGCUACUAAUCCCGCCUAGAGUGAUGCAGUCUCCAUGGCGACCGCAGUUUCCUGGGUAACCCCCCUAAUGUUGCCAUGGCAUCUCUCUGUUUCCACAGUAACCUUCCAGAUGGUUCGGAAGCCUGACCUGAGAAUUUCGCUUUCAAAGACUAGUUUUGAAAUGUUAAAAGAACCAUGAUACAAACGCAAAUUCAUACAUAUUUGUGUGCAUCCAAAUUCACUGAUCAAAAUUAAGUCAUGUCAAGUAAUUAUUGACACAUGUAAAAAAUGUAACCACAGUUCAAAUUAAGAAUGUUAUUAUAAGUAAUAUAAAAUGAGUAAGUCUGCUAUUUUAGAUACUGCAUCACCGGGUAUGGCAGCCAGGCCAUUGGGCAGCGGUAUACUGUGGAUUAAAAUCAUUGUAAGAAAACUGAACCGGAGUGACAUACAUCUGUGACACGUGGAAGAAAGUGAAAACACGCAGUUCUCAUGGACGAAUGCACACCAGGGCAACACCCAGCGUUCACGGAAGGGAAGAUACUGGGAAUUGUGAAUGGGGACGGAACAGGCCGUGUUUUAACAUCGCGCAUUCGCAAGGGGCUGCUGUACACCGUCAAAUGCGAGAGGGAGAUGAUGUCACCAGGCCCUGAGGCAAUGGAAUGAGUCAGUGAUUGUAACCCUCCUGGUGUUCCUACUACCAUGAGAAACAGCCAGUGGAUCCAAGGGCGGAGGCGGAUGGACCCAGAAGGACCUCAGCCCAGAAGGAACCCCAGCUCCUUCACACGCAACCCCUCCCCCACGCAGACCAUCCUCUCUGGAACGAGGAGUAAGCGGGAGCGGAGAGAUUUGCUCCCCUUCGCAGCCCUUCAAGGGCGGAGCCAUCAACAGCCUCUCUCUUUCCCCGCCACCUCCCACAUGAAAGGGAAUGACCGCGCCCACAAAGGACAACAUCCUAUCUCCUGAACUGUUCCUACCCGCACUGACUGCAGCCCCUACUGUGAACAGGAGUGCCUCCCCCAUACAGCGCGCUGUCUGUGGCCAUGGAAGUGGCAUGGCUCUCUCUCAAACCCCUCCCAACCCCGUGCAAGCCACAACGUGUUUACUGUCAACGCAUAACUGGAUCACCGUGCACCAGCCUUGGCCUGUUGGAGUCCUUCCUGCCUCUGUUCCUGCCUCGCCAUGGGGGUGUCUAACUGGGGCAUGUAGCAGCCCAUGCAGGGGUCUCCGAUAGGCUCGUGCUCGGUGGAGGCUAUCGGCGUUCAUAUCAGGCUGAUUGAUCCCAUCAGCUGCUAAGACGGCCCUGCCUGAAAUCGGAAUUCCAUUAGAGCCGGCCGGUGUGAUGGCUGGCUUCAUUUCAGGGGGGGAAAGUGCUCGUUCAGACAGGCAGGCUGGAAAGCAACUCUCCCACCAGGACCCAAGGACAAUUAGAGGUUAGACUGCAUCGAGCGCAGAGAUGCUCCUUCACUGGAGAUCAGCUGUCUAUGCUAGAGCAGUCAGGGUGGCAGAGCUCUCUCUCUUUCUCUCUCUCCCCCUCUCUCUCUCUCUCCCUCCCUAUC